AGCGUACACGGUGGAUGCCCUGGCAGUCAGAGGCGAUGAAGGACGUGCUAAUCUGCGAUAAGCGUCGGUAAGGUGAUAUGAACCGUUAUAACCGGCGAUUUCCGAAUGGGGAAACCCAGUGUGUUUCGACACACUAUCAUUAACUGAAUCCAUAGGUUAAUGAGGCGAACCGGGGGAACUGAAACAUCUAAGUACCCCGAGGAAAAGAAAUCAACCGAGAUUCCCCCAGUAGCGGCGAGCGAACGGGGAGCAGCCCAGAGCCUGAAUCAGUGUGUGUGUUAGUGGAAGCGUCUGGAAAGGCGCGCGAUACAGGGUGACAGCCCCGUACACAAAAAUGCACAUGCUGUGAGCUCGAUGAGUAGGGCGGGACACGUGGUAUCCUGUCUGAAUAUGGGGGGACCAUCCUCCAAGGCUAAAUACUCCUGACUGACCGAUAGUGAACCAGUACCGUGAGGGAAAGGCGAAAAGAACCCCGGCGAGGGGAGUGAAAAAGAACCUGAAACCGUGUACGUACAAGCAGUGGGAGCACGCUUAGGCGUGUGACUGCGUACCUUUUGUAUAAUGGGUCAGCGACUUAUAUUCUGUAGCAAGGUUAACCGAAUAGGGGAGCCGAAGGGAAACCGAGUCUUAACUGGGCGUUAAGUUGCAGGGUAUAGACCCGAAACCCGGUGAUCUAGCCAUGGGCAGGUUGAAGGUUGGGUAACACUAACUGGAGGACCGAACCGACUAAUGUUGAAAAAUUAGCGGAUGACUUGUGGCUGGGGGUGAAAGGCCAAUCAAACCGGGAGAUAGCUGGUUCUCCCCGAAAGCUAUUUAGGUAGCGCCUCGUGAAUUCAUCUCCGGGGGUAGAGCACUGUUUCGGCAAGGGGGUCAUCCCGACUUACCAACCCGAUGCAAACUGCGAAUACCGGAGAAUGUUAUCACGGGAGACACACGGCGGGUGCUAACGUCCGUCGUGAAGAGGGAAACAACCCAGACCGCCAGCUAAGGUCCCAAAGUCAUGGUUAAGUGGGAAACGAUGUGGGAAGGCCCAGACAGCCAGGAUGUUGGCUUAGAAGCAGCCAUCAUUUAAAGAAAGCGUAAUAGCUCACUGGUCGAGUCGGCCUGCGCGGAAGAUGUAACGGGGCUAAACCAUGCACCGAAGCUGCGGCAGCGACGCUGAUGCGUUGUUGGGUAGGGGAGCGUUCUGUAAGCCUGCGAAGGUGUGCUGUGAGGCAUGCUGGAGGUAUCAGAAGUGCGAAUGCUGACAUAAGUAACGAUAAAGCGGGUGAAAAGCCCGCUCGCCGGAAGACCAAGGGUUCCUGUCCAACGUUAAUCGGGGCAGGGUGAGUCGACCCCUAAGGCGAGGCCGAAAGGCGUAGUCGAUGGGAAACAGGUUAAUAUUCCUGUACUUGGUGUUACUGCGAAGGGGGGACGGAGAAGGCUAUGUUGGCCGGGCGACGGUUGUCCCGGUUUAAGCGUGUAGGCUGGUUUUCCAGGCAAAUCCGGAAAAUCAAGGCUGAGGCGUGAUGACGAGGCACUACGGUGCUGAAGCAACAAAUGCCCUGCUUCCAGGAAAAGCCUCUAAGCAUCAGGUAACAUCAAAUCGUACCCCAAACCGACACAGGUGGUCAGGUAGAGAAUACCAAGGCGCUUGAGAGAACUCGGGUGAAGGAACUAGGCAAAAUGGUGCCGUAACUUCGGGAGAAGGCACGCUGAUAUGUAGGUGAAGUCCCUCGCGGAUGGAGCUGAAAUCAGUCGAAGAUACCAGCUGGCUGCAACUGUUUAUUAAAAACACAGCACUGUGCAAACACGAAAGUGGACGUAUACGGUGUGACGCCUGCCCGGUGCCGGAAGGUUAAUUGAUGGGGUUAGCGCAAGCGAAGCUCUUGAUCGAAGCCCCGGUAAACGGCGGCCGUAACUAUAACGGUCCUAAGGUAGCGAAAUUCCUUGUCGGGUAAGUUCCGACCUGCACGAAUGGCGUAAUGAUGGCCAGGCUGUCUCCACCCGAGACUCAGUGAAAUUGAACUCGCUGUGAAGAUGCAGUGUACCCGCGGCAAGACGGAAAGACCCCGUGAACCUUUACUAUAGCUUGACACUGAACAUUGAGCCUUGAUGUGUAGGAUAGGUGGGAGGCUUUGAAGUGUGGACGCCAGUCUGCAUGGAGCCGACCUUGAAAUACCACCCUUUAAUGUUUGAUGUUCUAACGUUGACCCGUAAUCCGGGUUGCGGACAGUGUCUGGUGGGUAGUUUGACUGGGGCGGUCUCCUCCUAAAGAGUAACGGAGGAGCACGAAGGUUGGCUAAUCCUGGUCGGACAUCAGGAGGUUAGUGCAAUGGCAUAAGCCAGCUUGACUGCGAGCGUGACGGCGCGAGCAGGUGCGAAAGCAGGUCAUAGUGAUCCGGUGGUUCUGAAUGGAAGGGCCAUCGCUCAACGGAUAAAAGGUACUCCGGGGAUAACAGGCUGAUACCGCCCAAGAGUUCAUAUCGACGGCGGGGUUUGGCACCUCGAUGUCGGCUCAUCACAUCCUGGGGCUGAAGUAGGUCCCAAGGGUAUGGCUGUUCGCCAUUUAAAGUGGUACGCGAGCUGGGUUUAGAACGUCGUGAGACAGUUCGGUCCCUAUCUGCCGUGGGCGCUGGAGAACUGAGGGGGGCUGCUCCUAGUACGAGAGGACCGGAGUGGACGCAUCACUGGUGUUCGGGUUGUCAUGCCAAUGGCACUGCCCGGUAGCUAAAUGCGGAAGAGAUAAGUGCUGAAAGCAUCUAAGCACGAAACUUGCCCCGAGAUGAGUUCUCCCUGACUCCUUGA
rnacentral:rRNA from 1 species